AUUGAACGCUGGCGGCAUGCCUUACACAUGCAAGUCGAACGGCAGCAUGAUCUAGCUUGCUAGAUUGAUGGCGAGUGGCGAACGGGUGAGUAAUACAUCGGAACGUGCCCUGUAGUGGGGGAUAACUAGUCGAAAGAUUAGCUAAUACCGCAUACGACCUGAGGGUGAAAGUGGGGGACCGCAAGGCCUCAUGCUAUAGGAGCGGCCGAUGUCUGAUUAGCUAGUUGGUGAGGUAAAGGGUCACCAAGGCGACGAUCAGUAGCUGGUCUGAGAGGACGAUCAGCCACACUGGGACUGAGACACGGCCCAGACUCCUACGGGAGGCAGCAGUGGGGAAUUUUGGACAAUGGGGGCAACCCUGAUCUAGCAAUGCCGCGUGUGUGAAGAAGGCCUUCGGGUUGUAGAGCACUUUUGUCCGGAAAGAAAUCGCACUUACUAAUAUUAGGUGUGGAUGACGGUACCGGAAGAAUAAGGACCGGCUAACUACGUGCCAGCCGCCGCCGUAAUAC
rnacentral:rRNA from 1 species